AUUUAAAUAAUUUAAUUUUUAAAAAUAUUGAUUUGUGGUAUCAAAAAUGAUAUUAUAUCUUUAAGUU
rnacentral:tRNA from 1 species